GCAAGCUGGUGUUAGUGUGACAUGAUGAUGUUGUGUAUUUUUGCAGUCGGAUCUUGAUGCAGUUGGAGCUUAUGGUGGAGGGGGCUCCUCCUCACAUAAGAAGUCAAAGAAAAAGAAGAAACAUAAGCACAAAGACAGAGAUAGAAACGGCUGUGAUGACGAAUACAGCGUCAUAUCUGACAGGAGCUCAAGACUCAGUGAUGAAAGCAGAGUGUCUCGCUCCAGGCUAGACCUCACGGUGCGUGCUGUCCACCUCUGAUCCAUGCCGCCAAACAGCCUUACGCUGGAACAGUAUGAGAGAUCUGCUUUUGGCUUGAUGAGCCAGCUUCACCUGCCGCGUGUUAAAACAAAAAAUGCAGAGGCAGAUUGAGCUGAUAACGAUAGGUUGUAAAACAGGAUGUCACAUGUUGCCACAAGGCAGGAAAAUCUUUUAGUCAUUUUAAUGGUCUUUGCAAACUGCAGUCAGAAAGAGAAAAACAUUUAAAUUUGUCUGAUCUACGUGUGCGCCUCGGGAACAUUUCCAGUGCUGUGGCAGGUUGUAGAUUAGAAAUUGUCCAAAUUUAACCUCAUUUACAUGUGUUUGAGUGUCAAACUGACCUGACCCUCAUGUCACUGCUGUGGGAGGACUGAUCAAGACCCAGAGGCAUUGCAACAGGAGCACAACUGCAAGCAUACCAGUGUUUUGUUCAGACCAGCACAGCUUUCACUCACAAUCCACCCUUCACUUCAGAUUUGUCUUUUCCCAGCUUGGUGAAAAUCAACUUAAAUGGGGUUGCUUUUUGGACAUCCUCAAAAAAUGAAAGCUUCA